CUCUCCUUUAGGAGCGAUACUUGGCGGAGUGGGUGGAUCUGUGGUUGCUAUCAUUGUUAUAGUUGUCAUAGUUGUCAUCUUUAAAACGAAGAGAAGGACAUCUGGAAAAAACACAAGAGGUGAAUCCGGACAACAGGGAUAUGAAGACCUCAACUUGGAGCAAAUUGAACCACCGGCAGUAUAUGAUGAAGUUGCUAAUAAUCCAAUGGG